AUAUUAUCAAGAGUACAUGAUGGCCAUGUACUCUUGAUGUUAUUGUAUCAAUGCAGCUGGUGGCUAUUACUGUACUUGGGAAUCAGGUUACUCCUUGAAUACUGAUGGACACACUUGUGAAGAUAUUAAUGAGUGUGCGAUUAAUAAUGAAAGCUGUGAACAGCUGUGUAUCAAUAGCAAUGGGAGUUAUUGGUGCUCUUGUCUCAGUGGAUACACAUUGGACACUAACAGUAUGAACUGCACUGAUAUCAAUGAAUGUGA